rnacentral:rRNA from 1 species
UCUGCCCUGAAGUUCGGAACAACCUGCCGAAAGGUGAGCUAAUACCGAAUGUGAUCUUUUGCAGGCAUCUGCGAAAGCUCAAAGCUGGGGAUCGUAAGACCUGGCGCUUCAGGAUGGGCCCGCGGCCUAUCAGCUAGUUGGUGAGGUAACGGCUCACCAAGGCUAAGACGGGUAGCCGGUCUGAGAGGACGAUCGGCCACACUGGAACUGAGACACGGUCCAG